UUUAUUGUCUAUUCGCUUGGUAAAAGUGCCCUCUAAAUUUGUUUUUUAUUAUUGUAGUUUCUCUCUCCUCCCUCCAUUCUUGUUCUUCAUCGUUCUCUCUCUUCUCCUGUCGUCGUCUUUUCUCGUUCUCCAUUCGAAUUUUGGAGUCUUGUUACUUGUUCAGAGUAAGUAAAUUUCGCGUCCUUUAGCGGUGGUGCGUCUGCGUGGGCUAUACCUUGUAGAGGUCGGAAUAGGAAUUCGCGAUUUAUGGUCAACCCAAAGGAAGAUGAGGAAGACAGUGGUGCGUUCCAUGAGCUGGAAGAAGGGAUUGGGUCCUUCAAAGUGUGGUAAUGGUGUGAAGGCCCAUGGCCAAAAGGAUGGGGGUUUAAAGGUUCGGUCGAAGGGUAGUGAAGGGCAAAGCUAAGCAGAAAAUGAUUGAUGAGGAUCUUGAAGAGGUAGAUGAGUUUGAGGACGAAGGUGAUGAUGCGAAAAGUAAUAAAUCCGAUGACGAAGGCUAGUCAGUGACUAGUUCUUGUUUUGUGGAGAACAUGAUGAUGGAGUACAUAAAGAGGAAGUCCCAGAAGAGGAAAGUGACAGGGGAAGGAAGUCAUUACAGGAACCAGAAGGUUCCCAAACUUAAAGGGAACAAGGUUUUCAGUAAAGGGGAGGUUUUGAAGACCCACCAUGAGAAUGUAGGCAAGUGUCCGAAUAUUAUGUGCCGUGUGGAGUCAUUUUGUGUUUCAGUUUCCGCGUUUGAUCCAAAGAGGAAAGAUUAGUAAGGAGGAUGGGUUUUGGCGGUUUGCUGGAGUUGGAUAUGAAUAAAAUCCCUAGGCAGUUUUGUUAUUGGCUAAUGGCCAGGGUACGUGAAGAUGCGACUAUGGUUUUUGGAGAAGGUGAAAUUCGAUCUGUUGAUGUGUGCUAACCAGGUGAGGUGUGUGUUAGGCAUUGCAAUGGGUUCGAAACCAGUUCCGAUGGAUGUUGGAGAUGAUGAACAAAAGAUUAUGUUGGUGAAAUCCUGUACGGUGCAUAUGGAAGGGGAUAGAAGAAUGAGACAAUAUCUUUGAAAUUUAUUUCUAUAGUAUUGUGUCCAUUGGGCAGUGAUGAGAAGUUUAUGCCGUUGUUUUUUGAAAAUUGUCAUUUAUAGCUUUAACUUAUUCUUCUGUAAUAAAUGAUCUGUACAUUGGUGUCCCAGAUAUUUUAUCUAGAUCACCUGCACCGGAAACCUGUGAAAUGGGGAGUGUUCCCAAGGGUGAAGAUAUGGAAUUCACUGGAAAUAAGGGCGACUCUUAUGGAAGACAAGCUGACCCGUGACGAGUAUGGGAAGUUAUUGGCAUUGGAUAUAGCGUACAGUGAGGAGCAUCCCCUUGUAACAAAGGAUGCCGAUUGUGUGGGAAGGAAUGUAUCUCUAGUGACUGAUACCCAGAAAAUGAAUGUUAUGGUGACAUAUGUGAUGGACAACGUCAAAUAUUGUUUGUUUGUUGUCUGAAUCUAACUUUUAUACUGUGUGAAAGGGUACUGAAUUCGAUAAAAAAUUCUGAACAUUGUAGGUGAUUGCACAGCUGACCCCAAAGCUGGAGACCGUUAUCGAGGGUAUAGUUGGAAAAGCAUUCAGUGGUUUUGUUGCAAAGAUGACUGGCAUAGGCCAUGACCAACCUGAUGAUGAUUUUUUUUUUUACAACUGGAAGCCAUCGACUGAACACUGGGAGUACCGGAGCGAGGGAGAAACCACACAAUGCGAAGGUGGAAUCCAAACCUUCCAAAAAAAUGGAUGAAGAAUGUUCGGGGGAUAAUGUGAAGUCACCCAUAAGGGAGGAAGAACCUAGGACUUUUAAGCUCGGUGCUUAUGAGAAGAGGCUUGUCACAUUUGCUAAAGGGUGGAAGGAAUUGAAAAACGACAAUGA